CCUACGGGAGGCAGCAGUGAGGAAUAUUGGUCAAUGGACGAGAGUCUGAACCAGCCACGCAGCGUGAAGGAUGACUGCUCUAUGGGUUGUAAACUUUUUUUAUAUGGGAAUAAAAUGUUCCAUGUGUGGGAUUUUGUAUGUACCAUACGAAUUAGGAUCGGCUAACUCCGUGCCAGCAGCCGCGGUAAUACGGAGGAUCCGAGCGUUAUCCGGAUGUAUUGGGUUUAAAGGGAGCGUAGGUGGAUUGUUAAGUCAGUUGUGAAAGUUUGCGGCUCAACCGUAAAAUUGCAGUUGAAACUGGCAGUCUUGAGUACAGUAGAGGUAGGCGGAAUUCGUGGUGUAGCGGUGAAAUGCUUAGAUAUCACGAAGAACUCCGAUUGCGAAGGCAGCUCGCUGGACUGCAACUGACACUGAGGCUCGAAAGUGUGGGUAUCAAACAGGAUUAGAUACCCGGGUAGUC
rnacentral:rRNA from 1 species